rfam:Oryza glaberrima chromosome 2 Oglab02_0006_5, whole genome shotgun sequence.
AAUAAAUGCAGUCGUGGAUAUCCGUGCCCAACGUUUGACUGUCCGUCUUAUUUAAAAAAUUUGUGAAAAAUUUUAAAAUAUUUAGUCACAUAUAAAGUACUAUUAAUGUUUUAUCAUCUAAUAGCAAUAAAAAUACUAAUCAUAAAAAAAAUUUAAAUAAGACGAAUGGUCAAACGUUGAACGUGAACAGUGCAAAACUGCAUUUAUU